UUUAUUCUUGGUUCAGGAUGAACGGCUAGUGGCAGGUUUAACACCAUCCAAGUCGAGGGGCACGCAGAGAGUUGCAAUUCUUUGUUGGCGACCGGGCGGCACGGGGUGCGUAACGCGUAUGCAACCUUCCUUAAACAGGGGAAUAACUCAAGGGAAAACUUGAAACUUAAUGCCCCCAUAUUCUUGCGGGAUCGCAUGGUCCUGCAAGGAAAAGCCUUGGUGGUUUUAGAUGGGCAUGCGUGACAUUAGGUAGUUGGCGGGGCAACGGCCCACCAAGCCGACGAUGUCUAGGGGAGCUGAGAGGCUUAUCCCCCACACUGGUACUGAGACACGGACCAGACUCCUACGGGAGGCAGCAGUGAGGAAUAUUGGUCAAUGGACGGAAGUCUGAACCAGCCAUGCCGCGUGAAGGAAGAAUGCCCUAUGGGUUGUAAACUUCUUUUGUUCGAGAGUAAUAAGCGGGAUGCGUCCCGUGAUGAGAGUAUCGGACGAAUAAGCAUCGGCUAACUCCGUGCCAGCAGCCGCGGUAAUACGGAGGAUGCAAGCGUUAUCCGGAUUUAUUGGGUUUAAAGGGUGCGUAGGCGGACGACUAAGUCAGCGGUGAAAUAUCCCGGCUCAACCGGGAGGCUGCCGUUGAUACUGGUCGCCUUGAGUACGAACGGCGCCGGCGGAAUAUGUAAUGUAGCGGUGAAAUGCAUAGAUAUUACAUAGAACACCGAUCGCGAAGGCAGCUGGCGAGGACGUCACUGACGCUGAGGCACGAAGGCGUGGGGAUCAAACAGGAUUAGAUACCCUGGUAGUCCACGCAGUAAACGAUGAAUACUAGUAGUCCGCAUUCAUAGGAUGUGGGGCCCCAGCAAACGCAAUAAGUAUUCCACCUUGGGGAGGUUCGUUCGCAAGAAUGAAACUCAAAGGAAUUGUCGGGGACCCGCACAAGCGGGUGGAGCAUGUGGUUUAAUUGGAAGCAACGCGAAGAACCUUACCAGGCCUUGACAUCCCGAUGACCGCAGAGUAAUGUCUGCUUUUCUUCGGAACAUCGGUGACAGGUGGUGCAUGGUUGUCGUCAGCUCGUGUCGUGAGAUGUUGGGUUAAGUCCCGCAACGAGCGCAACCCUUAUUUUCAGUAGCCAUCAUUGAGUUGGGCACUCUGGAGAGACUGCCGGGGAUAACCCGGAGGAAGGUGGGGAUGACGUCAAAUCAUCAUGCCCCUUAUGGCCUGGGCUACACACGUGCUACAAUGGCGUAAACAAAGAGAAGCAAUAUCGCGAGGUGGAGCAAAUCUCAAAAAUAACGUCCCAGUUCGGA
rnacentral:rRNA from 1 species